rnacentral:lncRNA from 1 species
GUAACCGAUAUAAAAUUAAAAGAAAUAAAAGAAUUAACAUGUGUACUGUUGUUUAAUCAUUAUUUCUCCUUAAGUCCAUGUUACCUAUAAGUUGCAUAUCUCAUACUCUCUUAAGAGUUAAAAGUAUAUUUUUUUUACAUAUUGAGGCUGGAAACAUACUUUUUUGCAUGUUUGACCUUGUCUUUCUGUAUAUUAUGCAUGUAGUCCUUCUGCUUUAUUAGAGGGGUCAUGCCCUGCUAGUGCAUCGCCAAAAU